UUCCCCUGCAGGUCGAACGGGGACUUUCGGUCUUACGUGGCGCACGGGUGAGUAACGCGUGGGAAUCUACCCUAAAGUCGGGGAUAACCGCUGGAAACGGCGGCUAAUACCGGAUACGCCCUGAGGGGCAAAGCUUUUGCGCUUUAGGAGGAGCCCGCGUCCGAUUAGCUAGUUGGUGGGGUAAAGGCCUACCAAGGCUGCGAUCGGUACCUGGUCUGAGAGGAUGAUCAGCCCCACUGGGACUGAAACACAGCCCAGACUCCUACCGGAGGCAGCAGUGGGGAAUCUUGGACAAUGGGGGCAACCCUGAUCCCGCCCUGCCGCGUGGGUGAAGAAGGCCUUACGGUUGUAAAGCCCUUUCGGCGGGGAAAAUGAUGACGGUACCCGCAUAAGACGCCCCGGCUAAUUCCUUGCCAGCGGCCG
rnacentral:rRNA from 1 species